AUUGAACGCUGGCGGCAGGCCUAACACAUGCAAGUCGAACGAGUGGCGGACGGGUGAGUAAUGUCUGGGAAACUGCCCGAUGGUGGGGGAUAACUACUGGAAACGGUAGCUAAUACCGCAUACCAUCGGAUGUGCCCAGAUGGGAUUGGCUAGUAGGUGGGGUAACGGCGCACCUAGGCGACGAUCCCUAGCUGGUGUGAGAGGAUGGCGAGCCACACUGGAACUGAUGCGCGGUACAGACUCCUACGGGAGGCAGCAGUGGGGAGUAUUGCACAAUGGGCGCAAGCCGGGUGCGGCCAUGCCGCGUGUAUGAAGAGGGCCUUCGGGUUGUAAGGUACUUUCAGCGAGGAGGCGUUACUCGCAGAAGAAGCACCGGCUAACUCCGUGCCAGCAGCCGCGGUAAUAC
rnacentral:rRNA from 1 species